AUACGUAGGGAGCGAGCGUUGUCCGGAAUUACUGGGUGUAAAGGGUGCGUAGGCGGGACUGCAAGUCAGAUGUGUAAUGCCGGGGCUCAACCCCGGAGCUGCAUUUGCAACUGUGGUUCUUGAGUGUGGUAGAGGUAAGCGGAAUUCCUAGUGUAUCGGUUAAAUGCGUAGAUAUUAGGAGGAACAUCGGUGGCGAAGGCGGCUUACUGGGCCUUUACUGACGCUGAGGCACGAAAGCGUGGGGAGCAAACAGGAUUAGAUACCCUGGUAGUCCACGCUGUAAACGAUGAUGACUAGGUGUGGGGGGACUGAACCCUUCCGUGCCGCAGUUAACACAAUAAGUCAUCCACCUGGGGAGUACGGCCGCAAGGUUGAAACUCAAAUGAAUUGACGGGG
rnacentral:rRNA from 1 species